rnacentral:rRNA from 1 species
UGGGAAUAUUGGACAAUGGGCGAAAGCCUGAUCCAGCCAUGCCGCGUGUGUGAAGAAGGUCUUCGGAUUGUAAAAGCACUUUAAGUUGGGAGGAAGGGCAGUAAGCUAAUACCUUGCUGUUUUGACGUUACCGACAGAAUAAGCACCGGCUAACUUCGUGCCAGCAGCCGCGGUAAUACGAAGGGUGCAAGCGUUAAUCGGAAUUACUGGGCGUAAAAGCGCGCGUAGGUGGUUCGUUAAGUUGGAUGUGAAAGCCCCGGGCUCAACCUGGGAACUGCAUCCAAAACUGGCGAGCUAGAGUACGGUAGAGGGUGGUGGAAUUUCCUGUGUAGCGGUGAAAAUGCGUAGAUAUAGGAAGGAACACCAGUGGCGAAGGCGACCACCUGGACUGAUACUGACACUGAGGUGCGAAAAGCGUGGGGAGCAAAACAGGAUUAGAUACCCCUGGUAGUCCACGCCGUAAAACGUGUCAACUAGCCGUUGGGUUCCUUGAGGGCUUAGUGGCGCAGCUAACGCAUUAAAGUUGACCGCCUGGGGAGUACGGCCGCAAGGUUAAAAACUCAAAAUGAAAUUGACGGGGGUCAUAGCUGUUUCCU